rnacentral:rRNA from 1 species
GGCAGCAGUGGGGAAUUUUGGACAAUGGGCGAAAGCCUGAUCCAGCAAUGCCGCGUGCAGGAUGAAGGCCUUCGGGUUGUAAACUGCUUUUGUACGGAACGAAAAAGCUUCUCCUAAUACAAGAGGCCCAUGACGGUACCGUAAGAAUAAGCACCGGCUAACUACGUGCCAGCAGCCGCGGUAAUACGUAGGGUGCGAGCGUUAAUCGGAAUUACAGGGCGUAAAGCGCACGCAGGCGGUUUGUUAAGUCGGAUGUAAAAUCCCCGGGCUCAACCUGGGAACUGCAUUCGAAACUGGCAAGCUUGAGUCUUGUAGAGGGGGGUAGAAUUCCAGGUGUAGCGGUGAAAUGCGUAGAGAUCUGGAGGAAUACCGGUGGCGAAGGCGGCCCCCUGGACAAAGACUGACGCUCAGGUGCGAAAGCGUGGGGAGCAAACAGGAUUAGAUACCCUGGUAGUCCACGCCGUAAACGAUGUCGACUUGGAGGUUGUGCCCUUGAGGCGUGGCUUCCGGAGCUAACGCGUUAAGUCGACCGCCUGGGGAGUACGGCCGCAAGGUUAAAACUCAAAUGAAUUGACG